rnacentral:rRNA from 1 species
ACGGGAGGCAGCAGUGGGGGAUAUUGCACAAUGGGGGAAACCCUGAUGCAGCGAUGCCGCGUGAGGGAAGAAGGUUUUCGGAUUGUAAACCUCUGUCUUUGGGGAUGAUGAUGACAGUAUCCAAAGAGGAAGCUCCGGCUAACUACGUGCCAGCAGCCGCGGUAAUACGUAGGGAGCGAGCGUUGUCCGGAUUUACUGGGUGUAAAGGGAGCGUAGGCGGGUUUGUAAGUUGGAUGUGAAAUUUAUGGGCUUAACCCAUAAACUGCAUUCAAAACUGUGAAUCUUGAGUGGAGUAGAGGCAGAUGGAAUUCCUGGUGUAGCGGUGGAAUGCGUAGAUAUCAGGAGGAACGCCGGUGGCGAAAGCGAUCUGCUGGGCUCUAACUGACGCUGAGGCUCGAAAGCAUGGGGAGCAAACAGGAUUAGAUACCCUGGUA